rnacentral:lncRNA from 1 species
CCGGAUGCGGGACCCCUCAGGUGCGAAGGCUCAGGUGGGCCCUCACCUGCCGCAGGCCAGACAGCUGACAAGUGCCACGGGAGUUGGGCAAAUUUGGGAGCAGGAAGCAGGCCUGGCGGCCCAUCCCGCACCCAGACGCCGGCUCUUUUCAGAUGGAUGGCCUUGGGUCACCUGAGCUGUUCCCCGGCUGCGUGAACUGCCUUUUGAGCGGCUGGAGCCUGGCACAGCGCUGAGGGGCCGCGCAGCGCUCCUCUCCGCAGCGGCGCCGGCGGCUUUAGUGAGCCCCUCUGAUGUACCUGCCGGCAGAGGCCGCGGCUGCCGAGGGGCUGAUGGGGGCAACGCGGCGAGGGCCGUGAGCCGACCCCCCUCCCCCUCCUGCCUCGGCCCCCGAGAGGGCCCCGCCAGCUCCUGACUCAGCUUCCCAGGGCCCGGCCGGCUUCUCCCUGGAAUCCUCUCUUGGGUUUGUCCUUUACAGGAACAGGUGUUCGCUGGUUUCAUCAAAGAUCAGUUUUGUUUCUCUGGUUCUUUGUCUUGUUUCAGGGCAAUUUUCAGGAGGAAAUUAGCCAUUUUGAAACGUACCCCAAUUU